AGAAUCAACGCUGGCGGCGUGCCUAACACAUGCAAGUCGAACGAGAAAGUGGAGCAAUCCAUGAGUAAAGUGGCGCACGGGUGAGUAACACGUGACUAACCUACCCUUGAGUGGGGGAUAACCUAAGGGAAACCUGGGCUAAUACCGCAUAAUACCUUCGGGUCAAAGGAGCAAUUCGCUUAAGGAGGGGUCGCGGCCGAUUAGUUAGUUGGCGGGGUUAAUGGCCCACCAAGACUGUGAUCGGUAU
rnacentral:rRNA from 1 species